rnacentral:rRNA from 1 species
AGUGAACGCUGGCGGUAGGCCUAACACAUGCAAGUCGAACGGCAGCACAGUAAGAGCUUGCUCUUACGGGUGGCGAGUGGCGGACGGGUGAGGAAUACAUCGUAAUCUACUUUUUCGUGUGUGUUAACGUAGGGAAACUUACGCUAAUACCUCAUACGACCUACGGGUGAAAGCAGGGGAUCUUCGGACCUUGCGCGAUUGAAUGAGCCGAUGUCGGAUUUGCUAGUUGGCGGGGUAAAGUCCCACCAAGGCGACGAUCCGUAUCUGGUCUGAGAGGAUGAGCAGCGAAACGGGAACUGAGACACGGACAAGAGGACUACGGGAGGCAGCAGUGGGGAAUAUUGGACAAUGGGCGAAAGCCUGAUACAGCAAUACCGCGUGGGUGAAGAAGGCCUUCGGGUUGUAAAGACCUUUUGUUGGGAAAGAAAAGAAGCAGGUUAAUACCACGCUGUUCUGACGGUACCCAAAGAAUAAGCACCGGCUAACUUCGUG